rnacentral:rRNA from 1 species
UACGUAGGGGUCGAGCGUUGUCCGGAGUUACUGGGCGUAAAGCGUGUGCAGGCGGCUCAUUGCGCCCGGCGUGAAAGCCCCCGGCUCAACCGGGGAGAGUCGUCGGGGACGGGUGAGCUUGAGGGUAUCAGGGGCUGGUGGAAUUCCUGGUGUAGCGGUGAAAUGCGCAGAUAUCAGGAGGAACACCAGCGGCGAAGGCGGUGCUCUGGGCCGGAACUGACACUGAGGAGCGAAAGCGUGGGUAGCAAACAGG